ACUGAAUAGAUACCCGGGUAGUCCACGCCCUAAACGAUGUCGACUGGGUGUUGGGGAAGCGAUUUCCCAGUACCGUAGCUAAACGCGUGAAAGUCGACCGCCUGGGGAGUACGGCCGCAAGGUUAAAACUCAAAGGAAUUGACGGGGACCUGCACAAGCGGUGGAUGAUGUGGAUUAAUUCGAUGCAACGCGAACAACCUUACCUACCCUUGACAUGUCCGAGAGCCUGCUGAGAGGUGGGUGUGCCCGAAAGGGAAUCGGAACACAGGUGCUGCAUGGCUGUCGUCAGCUCGUGUCGUGAGAUGUUGGGUUAAGUCCCGCAACGAGCGCAACCCUUGUCCCUAGUUGCUACGCAAGGGCACUCUAGGGAGACUGCCGGUGACAAACCGGAGGAAGGUGGGGAUGACGUCAAGUCCUCAUGGCCCUUAUGGGUAGGGCUUCACACGUCAUACAAUGGCCGGUACAGAGGGUUGCCAAGCCGCGAGGCGGAGCCAAUCCCCGUAAAAGCCGGUCGUAGUCCGGAUUGCAGUCUGCAACUCG
rnacentral:rRNA from 1 species